CUAAUUACUUUCACAAGAAAUCUUCAUCCAAACCCUAGUUAGAGGACAUCAUUCAUCAGCGAAUACCGAAUUAUAUGACAGAAAUACAAGUAGAAAAAGUUACAUAACAUUCCAAUCAAGCAACAUAUUCGGUUUUCCAAGUAAUCAUUAGCACCUUAUCCAAUCCCUUUACACAUGCAUAUAUCAUAACUCACCAUGACAAAAUCCAAGUAUCCAACACAUAACUAAAUCAUACUCUCAAUUCUACGAUUUAAACAUAGACGCCUGCGG
rnacentral:lncRNA from 1 species